AUUUGACCUUUGACCUUACUUCCACUUCCUGUAGAGUGCAGUUUUUUGCACUUUAGCAUUACCCAAGCGACAAGUUGACGAUAUCACAGUAAACCGUUAAAAAAAAAAAAAAAAAAAAAAAAACUAAUAAACGUCUACGCGUGGAGUCAAACGGAGAAGCGGGUGAGGGAGAAGCUGAUUGGUCUGUAAAGCCGCUAGAGGACGCGACCUGGCACCGGGAGAACACGAGCCCGGGCCGUUUCCAUACUUAGAAGAUGUCUGAAGGUGCUACCGCUGCCCUGGGCUGCAUCUAUGGAAAGUCUGGACUUGAGUCAAAGAUUAAGGCGCUGUCAACAGUCACCACCAGGAAAACAGGACUCGUGAGAUUUAACAGGUCAGUCUGUCAACAAAUCCCACGUGCA